rnacentral:pre_miRNA from 13 species
UGUAAACAUCCUACACUCAGCUGUGAUCUUUUGCCGCAGAGGCUGAGAGAAGGUUGUUUACU